rnacentral:misc_RNA from 1 species
GAUGAAGAACGUAGCGAAAUGCGAUAAGUAAUGUGAAUUGCAGAACUCAGUGAAUCAUCGAAUCUUUGAACGCACCUUGCACCCUUUGGCAUUCCGAAGGGUAUGCUCGUUUGAGUGUCAUUGUACUCUCACACUCUCCGAUCCUAUGGAUUCGGGGAGCGGUGGACUUGGGUGUUGCUGCCUUUCCCUGUGGCUCACCUCAAAUGUGUCAGUGCACCUCUUGGUUGGACAUAGUACGGCGUGAUAAGUGUCUUCGCCGGCACCUCGCAAGAGGGUGGCCGAUCGGGAGCUCUGCGCUUUCAAACCGUCUUCGGACAAUUUCUGACAUCUUGACCUCAAAUCGAGUAGGACUACCCGCUGAACUUAAGCAUAUCAAUAAGCGGAGGA